AAAUACUCCCCAGAGACCGAUAGUGGACCAGUACCGUGAGGGAAAGGUGAAAAGAACCUCGAACAGAGGAGUGAAAUAGACCCUGAAACCAUGUGCUUGCAAGCGGUCGGAGCUCCGAUUCGUCGGAGUGACGGCGUGCCUUUUGCAUAAUGAACCUACGAGUUACUCUUGUUGGCAAGGUUAAUCGUCAAGAGGCGAUGGAGCCGGAGCGAAAGCGAGUCUGAACAGGGCGGAAAGUCAGCAGGAGUAGACGCGAAACCAAGUGAUCUACCCUUGAGCAGGCUGAAGGUUGGGUAACACCAACUGGAGGGCCGAAUCGGUGAACGUUGAAAAGUUUUCGAAUGACUUGAGGGUAGGGGUGAAAGGCUAAUCAAACUUGGAGAUAGCUCGUACUCCCCGAAAUGCAUUUAGGUGCAGCCUCGGGCUACGAACUUACAUGAGGUAGAGCUACUGAUUGGAUGCGAGGGCUUCGCCGCCUAUCAAGUCCAGACAAACUCCGAAUGCGUGUAAGUGAUACCCGGGAGUGAGGGCGCGGGUGCUAAGGUCCGUGUCCGAAAGAGGAACAACUCAGACCAUCAGCUAAGGUCCCGAAAUAUAUGCUAAGUUGCAUUAAACGAAGUUUUGCUACCGAAACAGCUAGGAUGUUGGCUUGGAAGCAGCCAUUCAUUUAAAGAGUGCGUAACAGCUCACUAGUCGAGUGGCGAAGCGUGGAUAAUAAUCGGGCAUAAGCAUAUUACCGAAGCUAUGGAUCCAUAUAUUGGGUGGUAGGGGAGCAUUCCUGUCGGCAGUGAAGGUGUAUCGUAAGAUAUGCUGGAGCGUCAGGAAAAGCAAAUGUAGGUAUAAGUAACGAUAAAGGGGGCGGGAAACCCCCUCGCCGAAAGACUCAGGAUUCCUGAUCAACGUUAAUCGGAUCAGGGUUAGUCGGGGCCUAAGGAUCAUCCUUUAAGGAGAUUCCGAUGGAAGAAACGGUUAAUAUUCCGUUACUGUGAUAAUAAGUUAAGCGGGGACGCAGGAGUGACACCACUGCCUACUGACGGAAUAGUAGGUUAAAGGGUGUAGGCGUUGAAGGGUGUAGGCAAAUCCGCACCCCGAGUCGAACCUGAAAGUAUGGCAAGUCUUCGGAUGAGUCAAUAAAGUGGGUAAGCAUGCUGCCGAGAAAAGCCGCUACACGAUAAUUAUUAUCGCACCCGUACCGCAAACCGACACAGGUAGUUGGGUUGAGAAUACUAAGGCGCUCGAGUGAAUCACGGUUAAGGAACUAGGCAAAAUAGUCCUGUAACUUCGGGAUAAAGGACGCCCCGCCGAUGGCGGGGCCGCAGAGAAUAGAUUCAGGCGACUGUUUAACAAAAACACAUGGCUAUGCGAAUUCGAAAGAAGCGGUAUAUAGCCUGACACCUGCCCGGUGCUGGAAGGUUAAGAGGAAGGGUUAGCAUUUCGGUGCGAAGCUCUGAAUUUAAGCCCCAGUAAACGGCGGUGGUAACUAUAACCAUCCUAAGGUAGCGAAAUUCCUUGUCGGGUAAGUUCCGACCUGCACGAAUGGCGUAACGACUUCCCA
rnacentral:rRNA from 1 species